rnacentral:rRNA from 1 species
UUAAGCGACUAAGCGUACACGGUGGAUGCCCUGGCAGUCAGAGGCGAUGAAGGACGUGCUAAUCUGCGAUAAGCGUCGGUGAGGUGAUAUGAACCGUUAUAACCGGCGAUUUCCGAAUGGGGAAACCCAGUGUGUUUCGACACACUAUCAUUAACUGAAUCCAUAGGUUAAUGAGGCGAACCGGGGGAACUGAAACAUCUAAGUACCCCGAGGAAAAGAAAUCAACCGAGAUUCCCCCAGUAGCGGCGAGCGAACGGGGAGGAGCCCAGAGCCUGAAUCAGUGUGUGUGUUAGUGGAAGCGUCUGGAAAGGCGCGCGAUACAGGGUGACAGCCCCGUACACAAAAAUGCACAUAUUGUGAGCUCGAUGAGUAGGGCGGGACACGUGGUAUCCUGUCUGAAUAUGGGGGGACCAUCCUCCAAGGCUAAAUACUCCUGACUGACCGAUAGUGAACCAGUACCGUGAGGGAAAGGCGAAAAGAACCCCGGCGAGGGGAGUGAAAAAGAACCUGAAACCGUGUACGUACAAGCAGUGGGAGCCUCUUAAUGGGGUGACUGCGUACCUUUUGUAUAAUGGGUCAGCGACUUAUAUUCUGUAGCAAGGUUAACCGAAUAGGGGAGCCGAAGGGAAACCGAGUCUUAACUGGGCGCUAAGUUGCAGGGUAUAGACCCGAAACCCGGUGAUCUAGCCAUGGGCAGGUUGAAGGUUGGGUAACACUAACUGGAGGACCGAACCGACUAAUGUUGAAAAAUUAGCGGAUGACUUGUGGCUGGGGGUGAAAGGCCAAUCAAACCGGGAGAUAGCUGGUUCUCCCCGAAAGCUAUUUAGGUAGCGCCUCGUGAAUUCAUCUCCGGGGGUAGAGCACUGUUUCGGCAAGGGGGUCAUCCCGACUUACCAACCCGAUGCAAACUGCGAAUACCGGAGAAUGUUAUCACGGGAGACACACGGCGGGUGCUAACGUCCGUCGUGAAGAGGGAAACAACCCAGACCGCCAGCUAAGGUCCCAAAGUCAUGGUUAAGUGGGAAACGAUGUGGGAAGGCCCAGACAGCCAGGAUGUUGGCUUAGAAGCAGCCAUCAUUUAAAGAAAGCGUAAUAGCUCACUGGUCGAGUCGGCCUGCGCGGAAGAUGUAACGGGGCUAAACCAUGCACCGAAGCUGCGGCAGCGACACUAUGUGUUGUUGGGUAGGGGAGCGUUCUGUAAGCCUGUGAAGGUGGCCUGUGAGGGUUGCUGGAGGUAUCAGAAGUGCGAAUGCUGACAUAAGUAACGAUAAAGCGGGUGAAAAGCCCGCUCGCCGGAAGACCAAGGGUUCCUGUCCAACGUUAAUCGGGGCAGGGUGAGUCGACCCCUAAGGCGAGGCCGAAAGGCGUAGUCGAUGGGAAACAGGUUAAUAUUCCUGUACUUGGUGUUACUGCGAAGGGGGGACGGAGAAGGCUAUGUUGGCCGGGCGACGGUUGUCCCGGUUUAAGCGUGUAGGCUGGUUUUCCAGGCAAAUCCGGAAAACCAAGGCUGAGGCGUGAUGACGAGGCACUACGGUGCUGAAGCGACAAAUGCCCUGCUUCCAGGAAAAGCCUCUAAGCAUCAGGUAACAUCAAAUCGUACCCCAAACCGACACAGGUGGUCAGGUAGAGAAUACCAAGGCGCUUGAGAGAACUCGGGUGAAGGAACUAGGCAAAAUGGUGCCGUAACUUCGGGAGAAGGCACGCUGAUAUGUAGGUGAAGCGACUUGCUCGUGGAGCUGAAAUCAGUCGAAGAUACCAGCUGGCUGCAACUGUUUAUUAAAAACACAGCACUGUGCAAACACGAAAGUGGACGUAUACGGUGUGACGCCUGCCCGGUGCCGGAAGGUUAAUUGAUGGGGUUAGCGGCAACGCGAAGCUCUUGAUCGAAGCCCCGGUAAACGGCGGCCGUAACUAUAACGGUCCUAAGGUAGCGAAAUUCCUUGUCGGGUAAGUUCCGACCUGCACGAAUGGCGUAAUGAUGGCCAGGCUGUCUCCACCCGAGACUCAGUGAAAUUGAACUCGCUGUGAAGAUGCAGUGUACCCGCGGCAAGACGGAAAGACCCCGUGAACCUUUACUAUAGCUUGACACUGAACAUUGAGCCUUGAUGUGUAGGAUAGGUGGGAGGCUUUGAAGUGUGGACGCCAGUCUGCAUGGAGCCGACCUUGAAAUACCACCCUUUAAUGUUUGAUGUUCUAACGUUGGCCCGUAAUCCGGGUUGCGGACAGUGUCUGGUGGGUAGUUUGACUGGGGCGGUCUCCUCCUAAAGAGUAACGGAGGAGCACGAAGGUUGGCUAAUCCUGGUCGGACAUCAGGAGGUUAGUGCAAUGGCAUAAGCCAGCUUGACUGCGAGCGUGACGGCGCGAGCAGGUGCGAAAGCAGGUCAUAGUGAUCCGGUGGUUCUGAAUGGAAGGGCCAUCGCUCAACGGAUAAAAGGUACUCCGGGGAUAACAGGCUGAUACCGCCCAAGAGUUCAUAUCGACGGCGGUGUUUGGCACCUCGAUGUCGGCUCAUCACAUCCUGGGGCUGAAGUAGGUCCCAAGGGUAUGGCUGUUCGCCAUUUAAAGUGGUACGCGAGCUGGGUUUAGAACGUCGUGAGACAGUUCGGUCCCUAUCUGCCGUGGGCGCUGGAGAACUGAGGGGGGCUGCUCCUAGUACGAGAGGACCGGAGUGGACGCAUCACUGGUGUUCGGGUUGUCAUGCCAAUGGCACUGCCCGGUAGCUAAAUGCGGAAGAGAUAAGUGCUGAAAGCAUCUAAGCACGAAACUUGCCCCGAGAUGAGUUCUCCCUGACUCCUUGAGGGUCCUGAAGGAACGUUGAAGACGACGACGUUGAUAGGCCGGGUGUGUAAGCGCAGCGAUGCGUUGAGCUAACCGGUACUAAUGAACCGUGAGGCUUAACCUU